GUUUGAUGCAGAUAGUUUAAGUUGGGAGUAGACUUUGCUGCAAAUGUAAAAGGUAGACCCCUUGCUUGCUUGAGUCGAGGGUUAUAAAGUGCCCAGGUACUAAUGUCUCUUCCCCUAUUUUGAUUGCAGGAGAAGGACGCAGCCAGGAGGGUGAUGCAACAAGGCCGACCCCCCAAGGAACUGUCGCGAGGCCUUCACUGUCGAAGGAGAUCAGGUUUACCGCAACCGAUACUACACCCCAGACUUCGGCAUGGCCAAAUACCUCAGGGGAGAUCUGGAGACAGAAAUUCGCAAAUUGGAGUCAGAGCUGAAGAACUACAAGGCCCAGCUCUCCCGGGUUUCAUCUUCACCUGGGCUCAGUCACUGAGGACAUCCAGCGCAUGGAGGCCAAACUACACAACACCAUCAUGGCCCUGGCCACAGUGAAUCAGGUCAAGGCCAGUGUGACAGAGCUUGAGAAUGUCGAGGAGGAACAGACUGAGAACUUUAUUGAUCCAUGAUUACAAAUUAUGCUUUGAUUUCCUAUGGAGAUGAUCGAUGUUGGUUUGAUUGAUUCUGUAAAACCUUUACAUUAAAUUGACCGUGCUAACGUCAUCAAAUGCUACAGGAAGAAGUGGCUCAAGAGAACCAGCAGAGAAUCGAAUGGUGAGAAGAAAACUGUGGAGGAAGCAAAGGAGGAGCUGGAGGAGCAUGAGAAAACUACCAAGGAAGUUGAUUGCCAGUAUGUUGACAGGAGGAACAGGAUGGAACAGCUGGCUGAAGAGAUGGAGCCACUGAAGGUGAAGAGACAUUAGCGACUAACAGUACAGGGAGGUGGUGCGUCACAGUGCAAUGAGUACAUUUUUGUAUGUGUACAGUGCAUUCGGAAAGUAUUCAGAACCCAUCCCUUUUUCCACAUUUUGUUACGUUACAGCCUUAUUCUAAAAUGAAUGUAUUAUUUUUUCCCCCCUCAUCAAUCUACACACAUUACCCCAUAAUGACAAAGAGAAAAUAGGCACACACCUGUCUAUAUAAGGUCCCACAGUUGACAGUGCAUGUCAGAGCAAAAACCAAGCCAUGAGUUUCGAAGGAAUUGUCCGUAGAGCUCCGAGACAGAAUUGUGUCGAGGCACAGAUCUGGGGAAGGGUACCAAAAAAUUGCUGCAGCAUUGACGGUUUCCAAGAACACA
rnacentral:lncRNA from 1 species